GAUGAACGCUAGCGGCAGGCCUAAUACAUGCAAGUCGAACGGUGUCUUCGGACAUAGUGGCGCACGGGUGCGUAACACGUAUGCAACCUACCUUACAUUGGGGGAUAGCCUUUCGAAAGGGAGAUUAAUACCGCAUAAGACAGUAGCUGGGCACCAGCAGCUGUUAAAGAUUUAUCGAUGUAAGCUGGGCAUGCGUCCAAUUAGCUAGUUGGUGAGGUAACGGCUCACCAAGGCAAUGAUUGGUAGGGGAACUGAGAGGUCAAUCCCCCACACGGGCACUGAGCUACGGGCCAGACUCCUACGGGAGGCAGCAGUAGGGAAUAUUGGGCAAUGGACGCAAGUCUGACCCAGCCAUGCCGCGUGCAGGAUGAAGGCGUUAUGCGUUGUAAACUGCUUUUAUACAGGAAGAAACGACUCUUGCGAGAGGCAUUGACGGUACUGUAUGAAUAAGCACCGGCUAACUCCGUGCCAGCCGCCGCUGUAACAC
rnacentral:rRNA from 1 species